rnacentral:rRNA from 1 species
GCGUCCAAUUAGCUAGUUGGUGGGGUAAAGGCCUACCAAGGCGACGAUUGGUAGCCGAACUGAGAGGUUGAUCGGCCACAUUGGGACUGAGACACGGGGCGGACUCCUACGGGAGGCGGCGGUGGGGAAUAUUGCGCAAUGAGGGGAACCCUGACGCAGCAACGCCGCGUGAAGGAUGAAGGUUUUCGGAUCGUAAACUUCUUUGAUUGNGGAAGAAGAAAGUGACGGUACCCAAAAAACAAGCCACGGCUAACUACGUGCCAGCAGCCGCGGUAAUACGUAGGUGGCAAGCGUUGUCCGGAAUUACUGGGUGUAAAGGGCGUGUAGGCGGGGGUGCAAGUCAGAUGUGAAAGCCCAGGGCUCAAACCUGGGACUGCAUCUGAAACUGCAUCUCUUGAGUGCCGGAGAGGAAAGCGGAAUUCCUAAGUGUAGCGGUGAAAUGCGUAGAGAUUGGGAGGAACACCAGUGGCGAAGGCGGCUUUCUGGACGGUAACUGACGCUGAGGCGCGAAAGCGUGGGGAGUAAACAGGAUUAGAUACCCUGGUAGUCCACGCCGUAAACGAUGGAUACUAGGUGUAGGGGGUAUCGACCCCCUCUGUGCCGGAGUUAACACAAUAAGUAUCCCACCUGGGGACUACGAUCGCAAGAUUGAAACUCAAAGGAAUUGACGGGGGCCCGCACAAGCAGUGGAGUAUGUGGUUUAAUUCGAAGCAACGCGAAGAACCUUACCAGGGCUUGACAUCCUGCGACGACACUAGAGAUAGUGUUGUCCUACGGGACGCAGAGACAGGUGGUGCAUGGUUGUCGUCAGCUCGUGUCGUGAGAUGUUGGGUUAAGUCCCGCAACGAGCGCAACCCCUGUUGUUAGUUGCCAGCAGGUUAAGCUGGGCACUCUAACGAGACUGCCGGUGACAAAUCGGAGGAAGGUGGGGAUGACGUCAAAUC